UGAGUAACACGUGGGUGAUCUGCCCUGCACUUCGGGAUAAGCUUGGGAAACUGGGUCUAAUACCGGAUAGGAGCCAUCUUUAGUGUGGUGGUUGGAAAGUUUUUCGGUGUAGGAUGAGCUCGCGGCCUAUCAGCUUGUUGGUGGGGUAAUGGCCUACCAAGGCGGCGACGGGUAGCCGGCCUGAGAGGGUGUACGGCCACAUUGGGACUGAGAUACGGCCCAG
rnacentral:rRNA from 1 species